CCUACGGGUGGCAGCAGUGAGGAAUAUUGGUCAAUGGGCUUACGCCUGAACCAGCCAAGUCGCGUGAGGGAAGAAUGCCUUUUGGGUUGUAAACCUCUUUUGUCAGGGAGCAACGCCGUCUCCGUGUAGCCGGACUGAGAGUACCUGAAGAAAAAGAAUCGGCUAACUACGUGCCAGCAGCCGCGGUAAUACGGAGGAUGCGAGCGUUAUCCGGAUUUAUUGGGUUUAAAGGGUGCGUAGGCGGAAUGCCAAGUAAGCGGUAAAAGCGCGGGGCUCAACGUAGCUCCGCCGUUGAAACUGGCGGUCUUGAGUGGGGGAGAAGUGUGCGGAAUGCGUGGUGUAGCGGUGAAAUGCAUAGAUAUCACGCAGAACUCCGAUUGCGAAGGCAGCAUACCGGCGCCCAACUGACGCUGAAGCACGAAAGCGUGGGUAUCGAACAGGAUUAGAUACCCCUGUAGUC
rnacentral:rRNA from 1 species